GUAGUCCACGCCGUAAACUAUGGAUGCUAGCUGUUAUGGGUAUCGACCCCCGUAGUAGCGAAGCUAACGCGUUAAGCAUCCCGCCUGUGGAGUACGAGCGCAAGCUUAAAACAUAAAGGAAUUGACGGGGACCCGCACAAGCGGUGGAGCGUGUUGUUUAAUUCGAUGGUAAGCGAAGAACCUUACCCAGGUUUGACAUCCCGAGAAUCCUCCUGAAAGGGAGGAGUGCAAUUUGAACUCGGUGACAGGUGUUGCAUGGCCGUCGUCAGCUCGUGUCGUGAGAUGUUUGGUUAAGUCCAUCAACGAGCGCAACCCUUGUGAUUAGUUGAAUUUUUCUAAUCAGACUGCCCUGGCAACAGGGA
rnacentral:rRNA from 1 species